UGAAUCCCUCGUUAGGUGAGGCUCCUGCAGUGGAGACAUGCUGAUGCCCAACAACGUCCAAAGACGCCAAUGGGUUGAACAGGAACCAUCGACAUAAGGUGGUUUUUAACGCAGCUGAGCGCCGCUCUAUGCCCUGCAGUGCUAAAGCUCAACGAAUGGAGGAAAAA
rnacentral:sRNA from 2 species